UACGGGGGGGGCAAGCGUUGUUCGGAAUUACUGGGCGUAAAGGGCUCGUAGGCGGCCAACUAAGUCGGAUGUGAAAUCCCCAGGCUUAACCUGGGAACUGCAUCCGAUACUGGAUGGCUUGAAUCCGGGAGAGGGAUGCAGAAUUCCAGGUGUAGCGGUGAAAUGCGUAGAUAUCUGGAGGAACACCGGUGGCGAAGGCGGCAUCCUGGACCAACACUGACACUGAGGAGCGAAAGCCAGGGGAGCAAACGGG
rnacentral:rRNA from 1 species